AGAACGCUGAUGUUUGGUGUUUACACUAGACUGAUGAGUUGCGAACGGGUGAGUAACGCGUAGGUAACCUGCCUCAUAGCGGGGGAUAACUAUUGGAAACGAUAGCUAAUACCGCAUAAGAGUGAUUAACACAUGUUAGUUAUUUAAAAGGGGCAAUUGCUUCACUGUGAGAUGGACCUGCGUUGUAUUAGCUAGUUGGUGAGGUAAAGGCUCACCAAGGCGACGAUACAUAGCCGACCUGAGAGGGUGAUCGGCCACACUGGGACUGAGACACGGCCCAGACUCCUACGGGAGGCAGCAGUAGGGAAUCUUCGGCAAUGGACGGAAGUCUGACCGAGCAACGCCGCGUGAGUGAAGAAGGUUUUCGGAUCGUAAAGCUCUGUUGUUAGAGAAGAACGUUGGUAGGAGUGGAAAAUCUACCAAGUGACGGUAACUAACCAGAAAGGGACGGCUAACUACGUGCCAGCAGCCGCGGUAAUACGUAGGUCCCGAGCGUUGUCCGGAUUUAUUGGGCGUAAAGCGAGCGCAGGCGGUUCUUUAAGUCUGAAGUUAAAGGCAGUGGCUUAACCAUUGUACGCUUUGGAAACUGGAGGACUUGAGUGCAGAAGGGGAGAGUGGAAUUCCAUGUGUAGCGGUGAAAUGCGUAGAUAUAUGGAGGAACACCGGUGGCGAAAGCGGCUCUCUGGUCUGUAACUGACGCUGAGGCUCGAAAGCGUGGGGGGCAAACAGGAUUAGAUACCCUGGUAGUCCACGCCGUAAACGAUGAGUGCUAGGUGUUAGGCCCUUUCCGGGGCUUAGUGCCGCAGCUACGCAUUAAGGCACUCCGCCUGGUGAAUCGCCGCAAGGUGA
rnacentral:rRNA from 1 species